GGUUGUCGUUCUGGUCCUGGAUUAUUAGCUUCACUGUUACGUUGCUGCUGAGUGGAGGGGAGCCUCCAUCCUGAGCUUUGACCACGAAAACCAGCUGUUUAAUUUGCUCAUAAUCAAACGAGCGCACAGCGUGCACUACCCCGCUUUCUGCAUUUACUGAGACAUAAUCAGACACUGGAGCUCCGCCGAUAUUAGUGUCUACGAGGAUAUAAGAUAUUCUGGCGUUUUGGUUCUCGUCCGGAUCUUCUGCCCUCAGUGUGAUAACAGACACUCCUGGAGAGUUAUUCUCUGUUAUAAACGCACUAUAACUAUCUUUUGGAAACACAGGAGCAUUAUCGUUCACAUCAGAGACCUUUAAAUUAAAGGUUUGUUUUGUGGUCAGAGGCGGAAGUCCUGCAUCCGUCGCAACUACAGUGAUGUUAUACUCUGAAACACUUUCACGAUCUAAUACAGUGUCUGUGACCAAAGUGUAGUAAUUCCUUAAAUUGGACUUAAUCUUGAAAGGUGAAUUUUGUUCAAUUCUACAGUUAACAAGUCCAUUAUCACCUGAAUCAAGAUCUUUAACAUUAAUAAUGCCAAUAGUUGUACCUGGAGGAGAAUCCUCUGAAACAGGACUAGUGAAGGACAUCACGCUCACAGUGGGUUUGUUGUCAUUCACAUCAAUAACUUCGAUUAUUACUUUACUUGAAUCUGUCAAACCUCCCUGAUCUUUAGCAUCGAGUCUGAGUUCAAAUUUCUUAUCUUUUUCAUAAUCAAUAGAACCUUUCACUAAAAUUAUUCCUGAUUUUUCAUCUAUUGUGAACAAAUCACUCAGACCACGGUUAAGAUCUGAAAAAUAGUAUCCAAUAACACUAUUUGAACCAAAAUCUGCGUCACUGGCAUUAACAGUAGUUACAUAGGUAUCUUUAGGUGAGUUUUCCAUCACUGUAGCUUUGUACACAGAUUGAUUAAAUACAGGUGCAUUAUCAUUGGCGUCCAGAACAGUGAUAUCUAUAUUUACAGUACCAGACCUCUGCGGACUUCCACCAUCUACAGCUAUCAGCUUUAGAGACAGGCUGGGAUUUGUCUCCCUGUCUAAAGGCUUCUGUAACACCAUCUCUGCAUAUUUCUUUCCAUCUGCAUGUGAGUUUUGUUUUAGAGCAAAAUUCUCAUUCUCAGUAAGAAAAUAUUCUCUGAGCCCAUUGACUCCCACAUCUUGGUCUUCUGCACUAGGUAAAGAAAAGCGAGCGCCAGUAUUAGCUGUUUCGCUAAUUUUAAAAUGGAUUUCAUCUCGUGUAAAACUUGGUGCGUGAUCAUUUAUGUCUGUUAUUUCCACUGUUACUUGAUGGAGCUCCAUCGGGUUUUCUAAAAUCACCUCGAAGCUGAAGCUACACGGAGUCGUGUCUCCACAGAGCUGCUCCCUGUCUAUCCUCUCAUUCACGACCAGAGUCCCUUUGUCUGUCUUCAGCUCGGUGUACUGGAUGCUUUCUCCGGUCACGAUACGGGCCCGACCACUACGAAGACGUUUUAGAUCCAAACCGAGAUCCUGUGCUACAUGACCGAUGAGGGAGCCUUUCUUCAUCUCCUCUGGGAUUGAAUAUCGUAUAUGUCCGCUGACCACAUGGCUGAGGUAAAAGAGAAAAAGGAAAAGCUGCCAGUUUUGUCCGCAACCAGAGCGCCAUUUCACGCAGCGACUGUAGGACGAUAAUCCAAGAGCCAUGGUCCAAGAAAAAACACGGAAAUUCUUUUCUCACAGAAAUCACAGCACCAGACUCGAGGCAAUACACGGGAAGAAACUCCUAAGAAGAGCGAUGGUGGCUUCUUAAUUGUGUAAAGGAUGUAUCAAAUGGAAGUCUGUACUCCUCAAAUAUCAGCUCACAUAAUGCACAAUGUCUGCCUCAUCUAAAAUGCUCCACUGUUCAGGGAGGGACUGAGGGGUGAUGCUUUACAGAGUUCAUGUUUGAUUGACCAACAGCGUCCCUUAGAGUUCAAACGUAGGAACAUCAUGUAACACAGAAAUAUCUCUGCAGAUAUCAGGAGGUGGUUUGGACUUUCAUGGAAGGGAUUAAAGACAACAACAAUCCACAUAACUAUAUUCUUCCGGGGGAAGGUCAAACAUAAAAAAAAUAAUAUGAUCCUGAGCUCAAACACGCUGUUGUUCUUGCCGAAAUCUUUGAGUGUGAAGGAAACAGCUUUCCAACACCUCCCAAACGAUCCGAUACACACAAAAAUAGGGAGAGAAUUUAAAAAGGAGUAGACAUAUUUGUGUGACAUAUGAUGAGUUAUUGAAAUCAUACAAAAUUAACUUUUCUGGGACUUAUGGAUAAACAGUAGGAGGAAGGACACCACCCUGAUCAUAACGUUCUAAAACCAUUGACGAGUAUCCCUAAAAAUAGAUGGUAAGACAGAAAACUGCUGAAAAAGCUGAUGAACUAAGGGUCAGGGGUCAAUUUUCAGUUGUAAAUACAAGCCGAAAAAUACAAAAGGUAAAAAAAUUAAAUGUAUGUUGGCUCACACAGCAUGUCACACAUGAACUGACCUCUAGUGGAGAGUCUGGUUCGUCCAGGAUGCUCUUCUCACUCUGUAUCCUCUGCAUGGUCCCUGUAGAACUGGGGUCCAUUAUCAGCACGUUCUGACUACCAGCUCUGCCGAACUUACAGUCACUCUUUCUCGAGUCAGUCGUCCUGCACACCUCGUAAUUGUACACGUGUGGAAGAGUCCCUGUGCCCAGAGUGUCUGAGUAACGUGGAGGAUAAUAGGGAAUCACUGGAAGACUGGAGUGAUACAGGAUACGAGACUGUCUCCAUCUGUAGAUUUUCACGGAUAUAAUGACCACCAAACACGUGAUGAAGAGGAAGGACACUACAGCCAGAGCCAGCACUAAGUAAAAAGUCAGGUUGUCAUUGUACUCCUUGUCGUGUGUAAAGUCAGUGAACUCUGACAGCACUUCAGGGAAGCUGUCCGCCACCGCCACGUUCACAAUGACUGUAGCUGAACGAGACGGCUGCCCGUUGUCCUCCACUAUCACAGUCAGUCUUUGUUUCACAGCAUCUUUAUCACUCACUUGGCGGAUAGUUCGGAUUUCUCCAUUCUGUAAGCCCACUUCAAACAGCGCCCUGUCUGUGGCUUUCUGCAGUUUAUACGACAGCCAGGCAUUCUGUCCAGAGUCCACAUCCACAGCCACCACUUUAGUCACCAGAUAGCCCACAUCUGCUGCACGAGGCACCAUCUCAGCCACCAGAGAGCCACCAGUCUGGACCGGGUACAGGACCUGAGGAGGGUUGUCGUUCUGGUCCUGGAUCACCAUUUUUAUCUUAGCCACUGAACUCAGAGGAGGAGACCCAGCAUCACGGGCAGUUACGUUAAAUUCAAACCAUUUGAUCUGCUCAUAAUCAAAUGACCUCACUGCAUGAAUGGCGCCAUUUUCUGAAUUCACUGACACUAAGGAUGACACAGCGACUCCAUGAAUUUCUUUCUCCUCCAGGAAAUAAGAAACACGAGAGUUUUGACCCCAGUCUGCAUCACUAGCACUGAGAGUAAACACAGAAACUCCAGGAGAGUUGUUCUCUUGGACAGUCUUACUAUACUCUGUUUGUGAAAAUUUGGGUGGGCUGUCGUUCACGUCAGAAACUAUCACAUUAAUGACAGUACUACUGGACAAAGGCGGAGAGCCUUGGUCACAGACGAUGAUAGUGAUAUUAUACUCAGGAACACUUUCCCUGUCCAAGAAGUCUUCCGUGAUUAUUGUGUAAUAUCCUGUUAAUGAAGACUCAAUUUUGAAAGGAACGUCUGAGUUAAUGGAGCACCUGACAACACCGUUACCUUCAGAGUCUUCGUCAUCUACAUUAAUCACAGCUAGAGUUGUACCUGGAGGAGAGUCCUCGGAUAUCGAGUUAGAAAAUGACAUCAGCUGGAUUGUGGGCACGUUGUCAUUUUCGUCAAUAAUCUGAAUUAUAACUUUGCACGUGUCUGUAUAUCCCCCGUGGUCACUAGCCUGAACUUUUAACUGAUAUGUCUUAGAUUUCUCAAAAUCCAAUUUACCUGCUACUCUUACCUCUCCGGUUUUUGCGUUUACCUCAAAAAGUGGCCUCGCCUCUCUGGCCACAUGAGCGAUGGAGUAAGCCACUUCUCCAUUUACGCCUUUGUCUGCGUCAUUAGCACUCACUGUGGUCACCACUGUUCCUUGAGGAGAAUUCUCCCUGACCUCUGCUUUAUAGACAGGUUGGCUACAAACUGGUGCAUUGUCAUUAGCAUCAAGCACAGUGAUACGAAUACGCACUGUCCCUGAUCUACGAGGCUCUCCUCCAUCUGAGGCAAGCAGCACGAGCGUGUGAGUCUCCUCUUUCUCUCGGUCUAACGGGUUUUGUAAAACCAUUUCGAUGAAUCUUUCUCCAUCAGGCUGGUUCUGGACCUCCAAUUUAAAAUGAUCUGAUGGUUUUAGAGUGUAUUUUUGAAUAUCAUUAAUACCGACAUCGGCGUCAAAUGCACUCUCGAGUGAAAAGCGAGUACCUGCUGCAGCAUUUUCAACAAUUUUCAGAUUGAUCUCCUCUUUUGGGAAUGACGGGCUGUUGUCGUUUAUGUCCACUACCUCCACUGUUACUCGAUAAAGCUGGAUUGGGUUUUCUAAAAUCACUUCGAAGCUGAAGCUACAGGGCGUCGUCUUACCACACAGAUCCUCUCGGUCGAUGCGCUCUUUAAUAACAAGCACGCCUUUGUCCCGAUUUAAAUCAACGUACUGCCGGCUUCCUUUAGUAAUGAUACGAGCUUUACCUGAUAUGAGCCUCCCCACAUCCAAACCUAAAUCUCGAGCUAUGUUUCCGACAAACGAGCCUUCUGUCUGCUCCUCCGGUACAGAGUAUCGAGCCUGUCCCCUCACUGAGCUCAGCUUGAAAAGACAAAGAAUAAGAACCAGCGUUUGCCAUGGGCCUCCUCGACUGCUGCUCAGAAGAACAGACAUUAUAAAUCCAGAGGUAUAGAUGCCGUAGUCCUUUUCAAUCAAAACUGUUGUAAUCAAUCCAUAAAAUGAGAAGGUUCCAGUAUUUUAUCUGACGAAGUCCACGAUCAAUGCUAAACCUCUAAUCACCUCCGACUACACCGUCUUCUCUCGAAGCAGUAAACACUGAAAUGAAUACAAGGGGCGGACCGCAGCUCAGCUCAUGAGGACAGUCAGUCAGUCAUGUAUCAACAGCGGCACUCAGAGCUCAUUCAUGGUAAUGAACGUGGAGUGCACAGUGAUGUUGUAGUGAGCCAAAGAUGAUUUGUUUAGAAUAAAAAAUCCACAUCAAGCACAUCUAAAAGUGUUUGAGUAAAAAGGGAAAACCGAACUGCAAAUGUAUUCCUUUAAAUCAGGACAGGGGAUGGUAAUAAGAGCUGAAAAUACAGCUCAUUUACUCUUUGUUUUCAAGUGUGGCAUAGUUUCCAGAUCUCCUGAAAUGUGUACAUUCACCUACAGUGACAAAACAGAUCGUUGCUGAUUCAUGCUCUAACUUAUAGUGAUAAAAAAGCUGUUAUGGUUGAGAAGAUUCUUGAGAUGAAUGUAUGCAUAUUUAGGUGACAACAGUUGCAGUUUGUUUGUUACUAUUUGUUAUUUCAUGUGUACUUGGUGAACCUAUUGUGGAUUUUAUGAAAGCACUGAUAGUUUUUCAUACACACACACAUGCACACACACACACACAUAUUUUUCAUAGUAUAAUAAGAUAUGUUGAAAAAAAUAAUAAAAACACUGCUUUAGAUGUGUUUCAUCAAGUGUUUCAGGACCAGGGACAGCUCCAGCAACACACAACCGACAACUGUGCUUGUGCCAAAGCUUUACUAAUUAUAAAAAAAGAAACCACAGUGAAAAUAACUAAACUAAAAUAGAAUUAAAUAGAUAAAUAACAAUGAGGACAAACAUAACUCACCAGAGUUGACAUCUGUGAACAGUUGCUUGUAAGUUGCUUUUCCACCUGUGGAGUUUCUGCUUCAGCUCCGUCCACACUUACUAAACUUUGAGUCAUCGGCUGCAUAUAUUUCAAGUCACUCUUUCUCGAGUCAGUCGUCCUGCACACCUCGUAAUUGUACACGUGUGGAAGAGUCCCUGUGCCCAGAGUGUCUGAGUAACGUGGAGGAUAAUAGGGAAUCACUGGAAGACUGGAGUGAUACAGGAUACGAGACUGUCUCCAUCUGUAGAUUUUCACUGAUAUAAUGACCACCAAACACGUGAUGAAGAGGAAGGACACUACAGCCAAAGCCAGCACUAAGUAAAAAGUCAGGUUGUCAUUGUACUCCUUGUCGUGUGUAAAGUCAGUGAACUCUGACAGCACUUCAGGGAAGCUGUCCGCCACCGCCACGUUCACAAUGACUGUAGCUGAACGAGACGGCUGCCCGUUGUCCUCCACUAUCACAGUCAGUCUUUGUUUCACAGCAUCUUUAUCACUCACUUGGCGGAUAGUUCGGAUUUCUCCAUUCUGUAAGCCCACUUCAAACAGCGCCCUGUCUGUGGCUUUCUGCAGUUUAUACGACAGCCAGGCAUUCUGUCCAGAGUCCACAUCCACAGCCACCACUUUAGUCACCAGAUAGCCCACAUCUGCUGCACGAGGAACCAUCUCAGCCACCAGAGAGCCACCAGUCUGGACCGGGUACAGGACCUGAGGAGGGUUGUCGUUCUGGUCCUGGAUUAUUAGCUUCACUGUCACGUUGCUGCUGAGUGGAGGGGAGCCUCCAUCCUGAGCUUUGACCACGAAAACCAGCUGUUUAAUUUGCUCAUAAUCAAACGAGCGCACAGCGUGCACUACCCCGCUUUCUGCAUUUACUGAGACAUAAUCAGACACUGGAGCCCCGCCGAUAUUAGUGUCUACUAGGAUAUAAGAUAUUCUCGCGUUUUGGUUCUCGUCCGGAUCUUCUGCCCUCAGUGUGACAACAGACACUCCUGGAGAGUUAUUCUCUGUAAUAAACGCACUAUAACUACCUUUUGGAAACACAGGAGCAUUAUCGUUCACAUCAGAGACCUUCAAAUGAAAAGUUUGUUUUGUGAUGAGAGGGGGAAGUCCUGCAUCUGUCGCAACUACAGUGAUGUUAUACUCUGAAACACUUUCACGGUCUAAUACAGUAUCUGUGAUCAAAGUGUAGUAAUUCCUUAAAUUGGACUUAAUCUUGAAAGGUGCGUUUUGUUCAAUUCUACAGUUAACAAGUCCAUUAUCACCUGAAUCAAGAUCUUUAACAUUAAUAAUGCCAAUAGUUGUACCUGGAGGAGAAUCCUCUGACACAGGACUAGUGAAGGACAUCACGCUAACAGUGGGUUUGUUGUCAUUCACAUCAAUUACUUCGAUUAUUACUUUGCAUGAAUCUGUCAAACCUCCCUGAUCUUUUGCAUCGAGUCUGAGUUCAAAUUUCUUAUCUUUUUCAUAAUCAAUAGAACCUUUCACAAACAUUAUUCCUGAUUUUUCAUCAAUUGUGAACACAUCACUCAGACCACUGUUAAGAUCUGAAAAAUAGUAUCCAAUAACACUAUUUGAACCAAAAUCUGCGUCGCUGGCAUUAACAGUAGUUACAUAGGUAUCUUUAGGUGAGUUUUCCAUCACUGUAGCUUUGUACACAGAUUGAUUAAAUACAGGUGCAUUAUCAUUGGCGUCUAGAACAGUGAUAUCUAUAUUUACAGUACCAGACCUCUGCGGACUUCCACCAUCUACAGCUAUCAGCUUUAGAGACAGACUGGGAUUUGUCUCCCUGUCUAAAGGCUUCUGUAACACCAUCUCUGCAUAUUUCUUUCCGUCUGCAUGUGAGUUUUGUUUUAGAGCAAAAUUCUCAUUCUCGGUCAGGAAAUAUUCUCUGAGUCCAUUGACUCCCACAUCCUGGUCUUCUGCACUAGGUAAAGAAAAGCGAGCGCCAGUAUUUGCAGAUUCACUGAUUUCAAAAUGGAUUUUAUCUCGUUUAAAACUUGGUGCGUGAUCAUUUAUGUCUGUUAUUUCCACUGUUAUUUGAUGGAGCUCCAUCGGGUUUUCUAAAAUCACCUCGAAGCUGAAGCUACACGGAGUCGUGUCUCCACAGAGCUGCUCCCUGUCUAUCCUCUCAUUCACGACCAGAGUCCCUUUGUCUGUCUUCAGCUCGGUGUACUGGAUGCUUUCUCCGGUCACGAUACGGGCCCGGCCACUACGAAGACGUUUUAGAUCCAAACCGAGAUCCUGUGCUACAUUACCGAUGAGGGAGCCUUUCUUCAUCUCCUCUGGGAUUGAAUAUCGUAUAUGUCCGCUGACCACAUGGCUGAGAUAAAAGAGAAAAAGGAAAAGCUGCCAGUUUUGUCCGCAACCAGAGCGCCAUUUCACGCAGCGACUGUAGGACGAUAAUCCAAGAGCCAUGGUCCAAGAAAAAACACGGAAAUUCUUUUCUCACAGAAAUCCAAGCACCAGACUCGAGGCAAUACACGGGAUGAAAAUCCAAAGAAGAACGAUGGUGGCUUCUUAAUUGUGUAAAGGAUGUAUCAAAUGGAAGUCUGUACUCCUCAAAUAUCAGCUCACAUAAUGCACAAUGUCUGCCUCAUCUAAAAUGCUCCACUGUUCAGGGAGGGACUGAGUGGUGAUGCUUUACAGAGUUCAUGUUUGAUUGACCA